AGAAGAAUACUUCCUCAAGCUAUUUAGUUUUGAGAGUUGAAACAACGUGUUUCAACUGCACUUGCAUAUUUGGAGCUUAUUUGGGUGAACCAAACCUCUAAUUUCUUGUCGCUUUUUCUCUCUCAAGGGGCAAGGUACAACAAUGAGUCCAUAUAUAAACACUUUCAGUUGAUUAGAAGAGACUUCCAACAAUACAACACAGAGACAGAAGUUAGUUAGAUAUCCUGCAACAAAAAGAAACAAAAACAGUGAGUCCGUAUAUAAACACUUUCAGCUGAUUAGAAAAGACUUCCAACAUUAAUACACCACAAAGAUUUCCCAUCAACACAGAGAACUGCGAUCA
rnacentral:lncRNA from 1 species